CUUAAUUUUUGAAAUGUCAAACAAAAGAUCAAACACAGAGGGGUGACAUACACCCAUCUCUGUGACUUGUGGAACUUGCUGGUUUUGCAUCCAGCUUAUCAGCUGUCUUCUUCUUGGUGUGAAGAUUGAGUUUUACAUUCAUGUGGUCGGGAAGCAUGAUAUCUGCACCCUGGCAUGUCAUACAGCAUCAGGACCAUCUACUGUCUUGCAUGAGGUUAUUAUGACAGGUUCCUGUGUUUCUGUGGCCUGGGUCCAUGAAGCAUGUCACAUUUGAUGAAUGUCUGACAAAUGAUCCUGACAGGUUUAUAUGGCCAAGGAGGAGACAGAGCAUCUGUCCCUGGUCUGUGAAGUCCCUGGGUAGAAGUGGAUUGCAUGAUGUUCCUUCUCCAGGAAACAAUACAAAUGCUGAUGGAGGAGCAAGAGAAAGCAAAUAAAUCCUCAUACAUCUGGGAUUGAGAAGACCUUAAUCUUCUGUGGGAAAGCAGGAAAGUUCUCUCAUGAGAGAAAUGUCUUGAACCUUCUUCUGAUGCUUCUUUGGACCCUGCCAGCUGACAUACUGAAUCAGAUUGACCACUGACUUCAUGCAGUCCAGCACUGCCUGUAUCCCUCCUCCUCUGCAGACAAAUUCUGACUAACAGAUUGGGUAUAUCACCUGAAAAAGUCCAGACUGAUUAAAUGGAGACAGUACCAUAGUCUUGAGCUUUUUUUUUUUUUAAGUUUCAUGUAUGUUUUUGUGAUUUGUUUCAAAGUCUUACCUUCUUACCUUCUUAAACAGCAAGCCAUCAUGAGACACAGCUUUACCAAGACACACCAUGUGAAGAGUUUCCAGCUCAGUGUCGCAAAACCCACUGGGUAAAAAUGUGGCCCAGAGCAUGUUCUCAGAAAGAACAUCCAAUGGGGUGAUAAGCAUAAGCAUCUGCUAUCUUCUUCUGCUACAUUUUUGAAUCAUAGUGUCAUGAUUUUAUCCAACAUUUCUAGACAGUGUCAUAUUUCAUCAUCUAUAUGAUGUAUUUGUACAAGUAUUUCCAUUGGCAGUAAAAAUGUUCUGUCUUAUCUCUUAAUUUUGUUUUGCAUUUUAAAAAAUUAGAUUAUUUUUUUCUUGAGGUAGCAGCCUAAGACUCUAAAAUUCAAGGUCAAAUUCUCUGUUUUGCAGCAUAUUUUCCAGGUGAAUUUUGUGGAGCUCUUUUAAUUAACUGGAGAGAGCAUUUUCAGAUAGUUUGGUACCCACAGCUGAUUUUUCUAUACCUCAGUUUCUCACUUAAAAAAUGUGGUAAUGUUCUUUUCUUUGCCUGUUUCCAUUCAUAUUUGUAUAUUAGGCCUAUUAGACCUCAUCUGUGUUGAUCCUACU
rnacentral:lncRNA from 1 species